rnacentral:rRNA from 1 species
GACGAACGCUGGCGGCGUGCUUAACACAUGCCAGUCGAACGGAAAGGCCCUGCUUUUGUGGGGUGCUCGAGUGGCGAACGGGUGAGUAACACGUGAGUAACCUGCCCUUGACUUUGGGAUAACUUCAGGAAACUGGGGCUAAUACCGGAUAGGAGCUCCUGCUGCAUGGUGGGGGUUGGAAAGUUUCGGCGGUUGGGGAUGGACUCGCGGCUUAUCAGCUUGUUGGUGGGGUAGUGGGUUACCAAGGGUUUGACGGGUAGCCGGCCUGAGAGGGUGAACGGCAAAAUUGGGAGUGAGAUACGGCACAGAGUCGUACGGGAGGCAGAAGUGGGGAAUAUUGGAAGAUGGGUGGAAGUCUGAUGAAGCAACGCCGUGUGCGGGAUGACGGGCGUCGGGUUGUAAACCGAGUUCGCUCAUGACGAAGCUGUGCGUGACGGUAGUGGGUAAAGAAGCACCGGCUAACUACGUG